GACGAACGCUGGCGGCGUGCUUAACACAUGCAAGUCGAACGAUGAAGCCUAGCUUGCUAGGUGGAUUCGUGGCGAACGGGUGAGUAAUACGUGAGUAAACUACCUUUAACUCUGGGAUAAGCCUUGGAAACUGUGUCUAAUACAGGAUACAACCAAUCUCCGCAUGGGGUGUUGGUGGAAAGCGUUAUGUAGUGGUUAUAGAUGGGCUCACGGCCUAUCAGCUUGUUGGUGUGGUAACGGCUCACCAAGGCGACGACGGGUAGCCGGCCUGAGAGGGUGACCGGCCACACUGGGACUGAGACACGGCCCAGACUCCUACGGGAGGCAGCAGUGGGGAAUAUUGCACAAUGGGCGGAAGCCUGAUGCAGCGACGCCGCGUGAGGGAUGACGGCCUUCGGGUUGUAAACCUCUGUUAGCAGGGAAGAAGAGAAAUUGACGGUACCUGCAGAGAAAGCGCCGGCUAACUACGUG
rnacentral:rRNA from 1 species